AAGAGCUAUGCUGCCUGUGAGCCCCGUCCAAGGACGUAAAAUGAAGUCAGGCCGAAAGCCACGGAUUGAGCAAGC
rnacentral:lncRNA from 1 species